AACGAACGCUGGCGGCAGGCCUAACACAUGCAAGUCGAACGAGAAGCUUCUUUCGGGAAGUGGAGAGUGGCGCACGGGUGAGUAACGCGUGGGGAUUCGCCUUCUGGUACGGGAUAACGUUUGGAAACGAACGCUAAUACCGUAUGAAGUCUACGGACUAAAGAUUUAUCGCCAGGAGAUGAACCCGCGUAGGAUUAGAUAGUUGGUGGGGUAAUGGCCUACCAAGUCGACGAUCUUUAGCUGGUCCGAGAGGACGAUCAGCCACACUGGAACUGAGACACGGUCCAG
rnacentral:rRNA from 1 species